AAAGGUCUUUAUUUAUUUACUAAAAUAUAAAAAACUCACCAACACGAUCGACUAUUUUGAUUCCGCUAUCCAAUCUUUCAAAAUUUUAAUUUUAUUACCCAAAUCUUUCAAUUCGUCUAAUUUGAAUAAGUCAAUGAUAACUUCACUUUAAACUUUAAACUAAUAACUUAAAUGAAUUUACAGUUGUGAGAAUUACAUGAAAUAUAUUAAUUAAACAAAUAAAAAUAAGCAAUUAAUACAUUCAAAUUUUGAAGUCAAAAUACUGUUAGUUAAUUCAAAUCAAACAAAUUGAAAUAUCGGAUAGUAAAAUCAACAUUUUGGAAAGUUUGGUAG
rnacentral:lncRNA from 1 species